CACGUAGGGUGCGAGCGUUGUCCGGAAUUAUUGGGCGUAAAGAGCUCGUAGGCGGUGUGUCGCGUCGGCCGUGAAAACUUGCAGCUUAACUGUGGGCGCGCGGUCGAUACGGGCAUCACUGGAGUUCGGCAGGGGAGACUGGAAUUCCUGGUGUAGCGGUGAAAUGCGCAGAUAUCAGGAGGAACACCGGUGGCGAAGGCGGGUCUCUGGGCCGAUACUGACGCUGAGGAGCGAAAGCGUGGGGAGCGAACAGG
rnacentral:rRNA from 1 species